AGUACGCAGGAAGCAUGUGGAGCGGUGACUGUAAUGCUGCUAGUGCUGACUGUACUUGCUGCUCCCUACUCUUCUUCUGGGCCUCUCGCUGCACUGUGUCCUGACUGCGUGUAGUGUCAGGACGUAGCGCACGUAGGCAUGCACUUAUGACCUGACUUUGUGCGUCGUCAUUUUACAGUGCAGCACAGGGCCUGGAAGAUGAUUAGGGAGUGGUGAGUGCAGGAAGAGCGCUCGGUCCAGAGCAGGAGAGGUGAGUUCCUUUUAUAUAUUUUAUAUCUGAUCUGAGGUCUGAUGAGGAUUGGGGUGGAGCGGUCUGAUCUGCGGUCUAAUAAAGUUGGGGGUUUGGUUCUGAUCUGAGGUCUGAAAGUUUAGGGGUCUGAUCUGAGGUCAGAUGAAAAGUAUUUUUUUUCUUAUUUUCCUCCUCUAAAACCUAGGUGCAUCUUUAUAAAGUGAAAAAUACAGUAAUUGACAAAAUGUUAAGGUACUCACCUUGGACAGAAAUAAAGAUAUCUAUGUUGAACUCAUAUUUCUGAAAACAAGUUGGUUUUCUUUGGUUAACAGUAAUAGUGUAUGUUACAGGAAAAUGAACAUUUAGAUUCUUGCUCCUCUUCUUUACUGCCUAACAAAUGAUGAUACAAGAGGAUACAGUUCAUGUCUAUAGGAAGUAUGGCUGGAACAUGACAGUGCUGUCACUUUCUGCUCACCUAUAGCUGCUCAUCCUAGUAACUAUUCCUAAAUUUUUCUCUUACGGCAAUUGGAAACUGAGGUUUUUAUGAUGCAAAUUGUGCUAAGAAAUAAGCAAAGCAAGUCUGCAGAGCCUUUUAAUGUUAGACUUGUUUUAGGCUGUUCCAUGUCCCCUGUUGCAGGUGAAGAGAACAGUUGUUAGAAGUGCCAAAAAGAAAUCCUCCCUAAAACUUGCUGCUGUUAAUCCCUGAUGUGACACACAUUAUUAACUCGAAGACUUGUCAAAUAUACAAGAGUAAUAUGAUUUUCAGAUGUUUCAUGAUCAGCUAUGGAUGUCAUUACUGCAAAGUGGAAGCGUAUAAGACCACAGCAACUCAGACCAGGUAAAGUUAUAGAAUUGGGUCAUCGAGUGCUGAGGCACCAACGCUCUGCUGACUCAAUAACCUCUGGAAUUAACCUCCUGUUAGCCAGCAGGUUUUCAUAGCUGAGCAACUUUAAUGUAAGCCUUACAUCACCAAACACUGGAUAGAGUGGAACACUGAACUCUGGAACAGUGCUCUGUAAAUAUGGAAAUAUGUUCUGUGGUGUGACAAAACAACACUUUACUAUCUGGCAGUCUGAUGGACGAGUCUGUAUUUGGCAAAUGCUUGGAGAACGUUACCUGUGUGACAGCAUUGUGCCAACUGUAAAGUUUGGUGGAAGAGGUAUAUUGCUGUGAGAUUUAUAUUUCAGGGGUGGGCCUAAGCCCCUAAUUUCACUGGAAUUCUUAGAGCUUAUUCGGGAAUUAAUAUUGAUGAUGUUUAUAGGUCCUCAAUAUUUCCCGGAUUAACCCUUGAAUAUGUCGGCAUACAAUAGACAAUUGUAUACUUCAGACUUUGUGGGAACAGUUUGGGGAAGACACUUUUUUUUUUUGUUCCAGUGUGACUGUACUCCUGUGCACAAAGCAGAGUUUGGUGUGGAAGAACAUGACUAACCCAUACAGAGCAAUGAACUCCAUCCUCUUGAACACCUUUGGGAUGAACUAGAACAGAGAUUGUAAUCCAGGCCCUCUCUUCCAACAUCAGUGUCAGACAUCACAUCUCUUCUGGCUGAAUGGGCAAACCUUCUCAAACACACCAAAAUCUUGUAGAAAGCCUUCUCAGAAGAGUGGAAGCACUUCAUAAAUGUGUCACAAAAGUGAUCUACACUGAAAUUCUGGCCAAAUUUUCACUCCAAAUCUGUAGGUGGCGCUGGAAUGCACAGUGCUGAUUAAGUCGCAAAAUGUAUGUGCAGAUGGCCCUAAAAAGUUGUAAAGCCCCUAACUGCAACAUUGAUAAAUUCCCUCCAAAAAGUUUAACUUUUUAGUUCUGGGAUCCAUUUUAAAUUUGUUUAGCUUGGCACUCUGCCUUAAAUGCCGAAAUGUUGUCUGAGACCUGAUGCGAGAAAUUGUACAUAGUAUGUUCUAUCUUUGUUACACCAGUUCUUAAUUUGUCUUUUUGUUUUUACAGGUUCUUGAAUUUGACAUUUUAAAGGAGUGGCGUAUUCUAUGCGCAGGUCAGAGGAGAAAGCUACUGCAAAAAGUGGCUGUGGAGGACUCUCCUUGUGCACAAUAAUACAAUGCUUAUUGCUGCAGGACAAAUAUGUGUCAGUCCGCAGUUUUCACUGGCAAAAACAGUUCACUCUUCAUUGAGGUUUUUGCCAAAUCCCAUUCACAUGCUGCAGAAAGAUUUUUUAUUUUUGUGGAAAUUGACUUUUUUUUUUUUAAUCCUUAUAUCACUUGUUUCUGAUUUUCACCAUGUAUUUUACCCUCUGCUGUAUGAAUGAGAUC